GACGUAGUUCGUAUUUUAUCUUACACUUUUUCUUAACAUUUAUUUAAAUUCUAAUGGGGAUACAAUUUGAUUUAUGGUAGUAACUAGAAAGUUUCUCAAUUAUAUCUAUAAAUAGUCUCUAGUAUGUGAUGCUUGCUCACUCAUAUCUUGAAAGAGAAAAUGGUUUAUCGCGUCAACUACAUCUAUUUCUUCAUUGUAUUGCUAUGCAUGACAUCCAUUUUCACUACAGAAGGAACACCACGGGUUCAUUGCAACGACAAAUGGGAUUGUCCAGAUGAAGAAGGUUGUCAUAAAUUUUGUUUGAGAUUGUACAAUCUUAACAUUUCCAGAUGCCUAACAAAUUUUUGUUGUUGUGGAGAAUAAUUUGUGCCUUCACAAAAUAUUUGUAAAAUUGUUUCUCUAAACAAUCUUUUAUGAACUCUAUGAGAAUAAGUGAAGAGGUUAAAAUAUCUCAUUUCUAAUAUUUAUUAUUAUAUUAUAUUUUGUUUUGACAAAA